rnacentral:lncRNA from 1 species
UUUCAGGGAAGCCACUUCCCCCAUGUGCUCUUCUGGUUUCCUCAUUGGUGUUCGGGAAGAGGAGGCUGGGCUCCUCCCUGGGAGUAGGGUGCUAUGACAGAUGAGACUUUCAUGCAAGAAAAUAAAUCCUGCACAUUUGAUGUACUGCUUUAAACUUAAAGACCUCUUUGGAUCCGAAACUGUAAGGAUUCUAUAAACCUGGAGAGUAAUCCUAAGAAAAAUCAUCAGAAGAAAGGAAUUUGUAGAACUAAAACUGCAAACAUCCAGAAUCUUGAUGGUGUGCCAAGCCAAAUGUCAACUGGAACUCAACCAAAAACUAAAGUAAGUUUUAGUUUUCUUACAUAUGCCCCUGGUGUGAGUGUCCUGCUCUGUUCAUACAGUGUAA